CUUUCAGUACUUGGGGGCUAUAAGUCUAUAUCACUAUAGCUUGCCUCUACCUGAACCCUUGUCUUUUGCGUACCUAUGUUUCCUCGGCGGGCUUGCCCGCCGGCUGGACAAACUUAUAACCUUUUUAAUUUUCAAUCAGCGUCUGAAUAAAUAUAAUAAUUA
rnacentral:misc_RNA from 1 species